GCUGUGACUCAGUGGCUGAGCAUCUGCUUUGCAUGCAGAAGGUCCUGCAGUUCAGUCCCUGGCAUCUCCA